rnacentral:rRNA from 1 species
AACGAACGCUGGCGGCAUGCCUAAUACAUGCAAGUCGAACGAGAUCUUCGGAUCUAGUGGCGCACGGGUGCGUAACGCGUGGGAAUCUGCCCUUGGGUUCGGAAUAACGUCGGGAAACUGACGCUAAUACCGGAUGAUGACGUAAGUCCAAAGAUUUAUCGCCCAAGGAUGAGCCCGCGUAGGAUUAGCUAGUUGGUGAGGUAAAGGCUCACCAAGGCGACGAUCCUUAGCUGGUCUGAGAGGAUGAUCAGCCACACUGGGACUGAGACACGGCCCAGACUCCUACGGGAGGCAGCAGUAGGGAAUAUUGGACAAUGGGGGCAACCCUGAUCCAGCAAUGCCGCGUGAGUGAUGAAGGCCUUAGGGUUGUAAAGCUCUUUUACCCGGGAUGAUAAUGACAGUACCGGGAGAAUAAGCCCCGGCUAACUCCGUGCCAGCCGCCGCCGUAA